rnacentral:rRNA from 1 species
UGGAUCCAGACUUUGAUUAUGGCUCAGGACGAACGCUGGCGGCGCGCCUAACACAUGCAAGUCGAACGGAGAUUACAGGCGGAAGUUUUCGGAUGGAAGCUUGUAAACUUAGUGGCGGACGGGUGAGUAACACGUGAGCAACCUGCCUAUCAGAGGGGGAUAACGAUUGGAAACGAUCGCUAAUACCGCAUGACAUAGCGGAACCGCAUGGUUCUGUUAUCAAAGAUUUUAUCGCUGAUAGAUGGGCUCGCGUCCGAUUAGAUAGUUGGUGGGGUAACGGCCUACCAAGUCGACGAUCGGUAGCCGGACUGAGAGGUCGAACGGCCACAUUGGGACUGAGACACGGCCCAGACUCCUACGGGAGGCAGCAGUGGGGGAUAUUGCACAAUGGGGGAAACCCUGAUGCAGCGACGCCGCGUGAGGGAAGACGGUCCUCUGGAUUGUAAACCUCUGUCUUCGGGGACGAAACGAGACGGUACCCGAGGAGGAAGCCACGGCUAACUACGUGCCAGCAGCCGCGGUAAUACGUAGGUGGCAAGCGUCGUCCGGAAUUACUGGGUGUAAAGGGAGCGUAGGCGGGCAGGCAAGUCAGGCGUGAAAUAUAUCGGCUCAACCGGUAACGGCGCUUGAAACUGCAGGUCUUGAGUGAAGUAGAGGUUGGCGGAAUUCCUAGUGUAGCGGUGAAAUGCGUAGAUAUUAGGAGGAACACCAGUGGCGAAGGCGGCCAACUGGGCUUUUACUGACGCUGAGGCUCGAAAGUGUGGGGAGCAAACAGGAUUAGAUACCCUGGUAGUCCACACCGUAAACGAUGAUUACUAGGUGUGGGGGGACUGACCCCUUCCGUGCCGGAGUUAACACAAUAAGUAAUCCACCUGGGGAGUACGGCCGCAAGGUUGCAACUCAAAGGAAUUGACGGA